AUGGGAGAGGAGGAGAGGACAGGAGAAUUAAUUGUAUUAGAAGGCUCAGGAGGUCAUCUUGCUGCAAGGAAUGUUAAGCAGAGAGCUUCAGCUGGAUUAUUACGGAAAAGGAACCAAGAUAAGAGACCUUGUCACAGCCCUUUGAAAACAGGGGUGGAAUGGGUCAUGGAGGAAGAUAUAACAGUGUGGGGAGAAAACAAUGAAGCAACGAACUGCUGAAGGGAGCAGUGCUGAUGCUGUAGCUGAAAGUGGCUGAAGGAGGCUAGUGGCAGUGUGAACAGAAAGCUUCUGAAAAGACAGCACUGAGAGGUGAGCUGGAAAUCUUGGUCAUGUAGAGAUUUCUGAUCGGGUCCCCAAGCAUUUUGAAGUAUGGGGGGGGAAGAGGGAACUGAGGCAGGAAGCUGCCUUUAUGGGCCCUUAUAGGCUUCAGUGUCAGUGUGAAACUAGAACACAUUUAAAUUAUUUUUAAAUUAAGCCUUAAAAAUGUACAUUUGAAGCUCUAAAAAGCUUCAGAGAGUGAAGAUGUAAAAAUGCUGGAUGAAACUGUGUGGGUGUGUUUCAGCAGCAUCAUAUUCCUAAGAAGCAAACUAUAAAUGGCAAGGAUGGUGUUCUGGGCAGAAACCUGUCCCCGGUGGAUGUUUCACACUUCUCAGGAGGCAUGUCCACGCUAGAGUCUUUUCCUGCAGAUAAACGGAAGCACUCUCUUCCCUACCCCCCCCAAAAAAAACAAACCAAAACAAAAGGAAAUACAAAAUUAUUGGAGUAGUAAGAUGCUGUCCUGCUCCCUGUGUGACAACCAAGUUGUUAGGGCACUU
rnacentral:lncRNA from 1 species